UACGAAGGGGGCGAGCGUUGUUCGGAAUUACUGGGCGUAAAGGGCGCGCAGGCGGCUCUGAAAGUCAGAUGUGAAAGCCCCGGGCUUAACCUGGGAACUGCAUUUGAUACUCUGGAGCUUGAGUGUGGGAGAGGAGAGUGGAAUUCCCAGUGUAGAGGUGAAAUUCGUAGAUAUAGGAAGGAACACCAGUGGCGAAGGCGACCACCUGGACUGAUACUGACACUGAGGUGCGAAAGCGUGGGGAGCAAACAGG
rnacentral:rRNA from 1 species